CAGAGAGGCAUGGGGAAAUGAGGAUUUGGGGGGCAUAGACAGAGGGUAAUAAAGAAGAAUUAUGAAAUGGUAGUAUCAUCCAACUGUUCAGUAACCAUAGAAUUUAUUUUCUGUAACUUUCAUUAUGUAUUCUCAGGUUGCCAUGGUUGGAGAAAUUGGAGGUUCUUCGAUAGAUGACGCAACCCGAAGAAUGAUGGCGUUUAUAAUGUCACCUGACCUGGCACUGCAAUACAACCUCUUUGGACGUCAUGGGAAGAAACCCUUCAGGGAGCUACGUCUAUUUGAUCUUGUUUACGGAGCACUGAAGAAGAACAUCCUUACAAAGGACAUAAACCACAAGGAUGCGGAGAAGGCUUUCUCAAAAUGGUUUACAGGAGCUCGGGACAGAGGGGGCAAGCGGGCCGUCAGAGCACAGAGGGAGUUCAACAGAAGGGGUGAAACACAGGCUCUUCAGUCUCAAGAUGAGACACAAAUCCAAUAGAGGUCAACGAUCUGGUACUGGAGGCUAGGAAUCUGCUGACCUGCACCUGAUGCAGGGACCCACAUGUAGAGCAGUAUGGGAAACCCUAGCCAAAUCAACAUGGAACCCAUUUUGAAACUCUGUUGGCCCCCUCCUUGAGGCUCAGUGAGAUCUUUAUUUCCAGGCAGUAUUUGGGGCCUAUAUGGGUCUUAUAUCAAUUGCCCAGAUAGGCCCCAUGUAGAGCUCGGUUAGAUCGCAGUUGAGGCCCGUAUAGACAAUCCUAGGUGGGGCCUCCGUGAAACCUGCAGAGAAACCCACUUAGAACCUAUUUUUCAACCCACUUGAGCCCCACACAAGGCCCAGUGAGAUAUUUGUUCAGGCAGAGAUGGGCCCUCUAUGAUUCCCAUAUGAAUUGCACUGAUAGGUCCCAUGUCAAGCCCAAGUAGA